rnacentral:rRNA from 1 species
CUGCUGCCUCCCGUAGGAGUUUGGGCCGUGUCUCAGUCCCAAUGUGGCCGGUCACCCUCUCAGGUCGGCUACUGAUCGUUGCCUUGGUGAGCCGUUACCUCACCAACCAGCUAAUCAGACGCGGGUCCAUCCCAUACCACCGGAGUUUUUACCCCUGCACCAUGCGGUGCUGUGGUCUUAUGCGGUAUUAGCAGACAUUUCUAUCUGUUAUCCCCCUGUAUGGGGCAGGUUACCCACGCGUUACUCACCCGUCCGCCA